rnacentral:rRNA from 1 species
UACGUAGGGGGCUAGCGUUGUCCGGAUUUAUUGGGCGUAAAGAGCGUGUAGGCGGCCCGGUAAGUCCGCUGUGAAAGUCGGGGGCUCAACCCUCGAAUGCCGGUGGAUACUGUCGGGCUAGAGUGCGGAAGAGGCGAGUGGAAUUCCUGGUGUAGCGGUGAAAUGCGCAGAUAUCAGGAGGAACACCGGUGGCGAAGGCGGGUCUCUGGGCCGCAACUGACGCUGGAGGAGCGAAAGCAUGGGGAGCGAACAGG